rnacentral:rRNA from 1 species
UACGUAGGGGGCAAGCGUUGUCCGGAAUCAUUGGGCGUAAAGCGCGUGUAGGCGGCCCGGUAAGUCCGCUGUGAAAGUCGGGGGCUCAACCCUCGAAUGCCGGUGGAUACUGUCGGGCUAGAGUGCGGAAGAGGCGAGUGGAAUUCCUGGUGUAGCGGUGAAAUGCGCAGAUAUCGGGAAGAACACCCGUGGCGAAGGCGGCUCUCUGGAACGCAACUGACGCUGAGACGCGAAAGCGUGGGGAGCAAACAGG